UCUAGGUAUUUUUUUUUAUGCCGGUGGGAAAACACAGUGGCCCUCUAAGGAACUAAGGUUAGGGGCAAGCUAGCUAAUAUUACAGAGGAGAAAACUAAGGUUAGUGGCGAGCUAGCUAAUAUUACUAAGGAGAGAACUAAGGUUAGCGGCGAGCUAGCUAAUAUUACUGAGGAGAGAACUAAGGUUAGCGGCGAGCUAGCUAAUAUUACUGAGGAGAGAACUAAGGUAAGUGGCGAGCUAGCUAAUAUUACUGAGGAGAGAACUAAGGUUAGCGGCGAGCUAGCUAAUAUUACUGAGGAGAGAACUAAGGUAAGUGGCGAGCUAGCUAAUAUUACUGAGGAGAGAACUAAGGUAAGUGGCGAGCUAGCUAAUAUUACUGAGGCGAGAACUAAGGUAAGUGGCGAGCUAGCUAAUAUUACUGAGGAGAGAACUACGGUUAGCGGCGAGCUAGCUAAUAUUACUGAGGAGAGAACUAAGGUUAGCGGCGAGCUAGCUAAUAUUACUGAGGUGAGAACUAAGGUAAGUGGCGAGCUAGCUAAUAUUACUGAGGAGAGAACUAAGGUUAGCGGCGAGCUAGCUAAUAUUACUGAGGAGAGAACUAAGGUUAGCGGCGAGCUAGCUAAUAUUACUGAGGAGAGAACUAAGGUUAGCGGCGAGCUAGCUAAUAUUACUGAGGAGAGAACUAAGGUUAGCGUGGAGCUAGCUAAUAUAACAAAGCAGAGAACUAAGGUUAGCGAAGAGAGCUAGCUAAUAUUACUGAGGAAAGAACUAAGGUUGGCAACGAGCUAGCUAGUAUUACUGUGGAGAGAACUAAGGUAUUUUUUAAUAUCUCAGUUAGGAGUGUGCCAUAUCAUAUCAUAUGCACAAAAAAUAAUAAUUUUCAUUUUGUUGCUGUAGUGUAUUCUGGAAAUAUUUUUUGUCUUUCUCAGAAUCUGCUCUCUGUAGACCACUUGUUUUUUUCUGUGAAAGUUAACACAUGUACUUCUUGUUUUACCCAGACUGUCGUAGAGGAAGUUGAAUGCUACUGCAUGUCUAUACAGUUUCAGAGCUGGUUUAUGAUCAGUUACCCACAUAUAAUUGCAAUCAUUAGUAUAUAACAUAUUAAAACAUUUUAACUCAUAACAGUAAAACAAGAUUUAGAAUUUUUUAUAGUUUUUGAUUUUGGCAGUGAUGAAACGUUUUCCCGACCGACCCUCUGGUGCAUUUUCCUCUCAUAUCCUCCUCAGCCUUUACCCCAGUCUCUCACCUACUGACCUCUGGCACACCAUAAACAGCGUGGGUUCUUGUUGGCACACACCCACGGGAGUAAUAUGGCCUGUCCACUCUGGCAACCUUCUGAUCACGUUCUCCGUGACACUCUGAGUGUGUGCUGCUCUCCAAACCAUCACUGAUUGGUGGAAACUUCACACUAGACCUCAAGCAGUUUGGACUGUGUGUCUCUCCACUCUUCCUCCAGACUCUGCUCCCUUGAUUUCCAAAUGAAAUAUAAAAUUUACUGAUGAUCAGUGAUGGUUUGGAGAGACAUGUCAUCUGCUGGUGUUGAUCCACUGUGUUUUAUUAUCAAGUCCAUCAAAGAAAAUCUAACAGCACUUCAUGCUUCUCUCUGGGCAGCAGUACAAUAGGCACCACUUUGUUUUCUUUAGUAGACGUAUGUAAAGGUGUUCUCUGAUGGUACCUUUUCACCUAUUUACCUUUAUGGCUGCUGUUAUCAGGCCAUGGUUGGAUUAGUUGAUAAGACAGCCCAGUGUUUUGUAUUGUUUAGCUGAGAACUUUGAUCCCAGUUUAGAUCCACCCUGUGACAGUGAUGAUCGGAGCAGCUUCAGAACGUGUGAUAAAAAAGAGAUAAUCAUAAGAAAGAAAGGAAGAAAACAAGUGAU